UCAUAGUAUCGUUGAAACUCUUUUCAAUAGAUCAGAACGAUUUCACUCUCACUCAACAAGGAUUAUCGAUUCAGAACAAUCUUAGUGAGCUCUCACAAUCCAUCAGUGACAUCUAGCAGUAUGUAGUGACAAUCCAGUAGAAUAAAAAUGAUGAACCUCUAGGUGUAGUUAUCGUGUGAUUCAGUCCUUCUAUCACAAGUUUCGAUCAGAUGGCAGAUCAUGGAUAAAUCAUCAAACCUCAUCGGUCAUAUGAUAGAUUUAAUUAGCUCGAGUCCGACUGUGAUUCUCAUGAAAAUUUUUUUUCAUCAAUCAUACUACUAUGGCCAUAGACUUAAGAGCUCAGCCUCUUAAAUCUCAUAGGACUACUUCCUUCUGCUAAGAUCGAUAGAUCCCAUUUAAAUACACAUCCUACUCCUACAGUAGAUCAAUUAUCACCAACAUCCACUAUAAGGACUCAUUGAAAUCAUAUUUUUGUGUAGUUAAACUCCAGCAGUCUCACUGUGAGCAGCUAUGGCACCGUAGAUCAAAGGAUCAGUUACACUGCUGCAGCAUCGAGAAAGUCACUAAUGAGUGAGCAGACAUCCAUGUGUCUUCUCGUGUUGGUCACAAUUAGUAUUGGUUGUUCUCUAACAACCACUUGCACUCUCGCUCUAAUAUCCUUAUACUGCAGAUUCAAGACUCAUCUACCCGAAAGAAGCGAUUUGUGCACCAGUCUAUCCGAAUCAAUCACUAUCUCCAUGAUGAUCCUAUGAUCGGGAGCAAUUUAGGAAUUAACCAUCAAUG
rnacentral:lncRNA from 1 species